UACGUAGGGGGCAAGCGUUGUCCGGAAUCAUUGGGCGUAAAGAGCUCGUAGGCGGUUCAGUAAGUCGGGUGUGAAAGCUCCGAGCUCAACUCGGAGAGGCCACUCGAUACUGCUGUGACUAGAAUCCAGUAGGGGAGCGUGGAACUCCUGGUGUAGCGGUGAAAUGCGCAGAUAUCAGGAAGAACACCAGCGGCGAAGGCGGCGCUCUGGGCUGGAAUUGACGCUGAGGAGCGAAAGUGUGGGUAGCAAACAGGAUUAGAUACCCUGGUAGUCCACACCGUAAACGUUGGGCACUAGGUGUGGGGAGGAUCAACCCUUUCCGUGCCGUAGCUAACGCAUUAAGUGCCCCGCCUGGGGAGUACGGCCGCAAGGCUAAA
rnacentral:rRNA from 1 species